rnacentral:rRNA from 1 species
GACGAACGCUGGCGGCGUGCUUAACACAUGCAAGUCGAACGGACAGGCCCUGCUUUUGUGGGGUGCUCGAGUGGCGAACGGGUGAGUAACACGUGAGUAACCUGCCCUUGACUUUGGGAUAACUUCAGGAAACUGGGGCUAAUACCGGAUAGGAGCUCCUGCUGCAUGGUGGGGGUUGGAAAGUUUCGGCGGUUGGGGAUGGACUCGCGGCUUAUCAGCUUGUUGGUGGGGUAGUGGCCUACCAAGGCUUUGACGGGUAGCCGGCCUGAGAGGGUGACCGGCCACAAUGGGACUGAGAUACGGCCCAGACUCCUACGGGAGGCAGCAGUGGGGAAUAUUGCACAAUGGGCGGAAGCCUGAUGCAGCAACGCCGCGUGCGGGAUGACGGCCUUCGGGUUGUAAACCGCUUUCGCCUGUGACGAAGCGUGAGUGACGGUAAUGGGUAAAGAAGCACCGGCUAACUACGUG